GUUUUAAUUCAUAUGUUUUUUUCAAAGAUUAACCCAUCCAUUUUUAAGAAUAACCAAUUAUACCGUGAAACUGCGAAUGGCUCAUUAAAUCAGUUAUCGUUUAUUUGAUAGUUCCUUACUACUUGGAUAACCGGGGUAAUUUUAGAGUUAAUCCAUGCUAAAAAUCCCGCCUUUGGGAGGGGCGUAUUUAUUAGAUAAAAAACCCAACCCUUCGGGGCUUCUUGGUGAUUCAUGAUAACUUUACGAAUCGCAUGGCCUUGCGCCGGCGAUGGUUCAUUCAAAUUUCUGCCCUAUCAACUUCGAUGUAGAUG
rnacentral:rRNA from 1 species